rnacentral:rRNA from 1 species
AGAGUUUGAUCAUGGCUCAGGACGAACGCUGGCGGCGUGCUUAACACAUGCAAGUCGAGCGAGACCCACCUUUCGGGGUGGUGUUCUAGCGGCGAACGGGUGAGUAACACGUGGGCAACCUGCCCUCAGCUCUGGGAUAGCUCCAAGAAAUUGGGGCUAAUACCGGAUAUGACCGCUGACCGCAUGGUCUGGUGGUGGAAAGAUUUAUCGGCUGGGGAUGGGCCCGCGGCCUAUCAGCUUGUUGGUGGGGUAGUGGCCUACCAAGGCGACGACGGGUAGCCGGCCUGAGAGGGUGACCGGCCACACUGGGACUGAGACACGGCCCAGACUCCUACGGGAGGCAGCAGUGGGGAAUAUUGCGCAAUGGGCGGAAGCCUGACGCAGCGACGCCGCGUGGGGGAUGACGGCCUUCGGGUUGUAAACCUCUUUCAGCAGGGACGAAGCGAAAGUGACGGUACCUGCAGAAGAAGCACCGGCCAACUACGUGCCAGCAGCCGCGGUAAUAC